UGUAAAAUUUUUCCAGGAUUUCACAAGAUAUAACUGUAAUAUUUCACAGUUAAUUACAUUAUUACCACUUCACAGGCUUUAACUGUGAUAAUUCACAAUAUAAUACCGUAUUUAGACUUUUACUGUGAAAAUAAUGCAGGCGCGGGGCUUUUACAAGAAACUACUGUGAAUGCCGUCUUUUUUGAGUGGCAACUGCGGCAGCGUCAUCAGAGCGUCAUCAGAGCUCUCUGAUCUACAUGGUCUCAUUCGGUGGAUUCAGACAGCGCAUUUUCUACAUUGACCGACGAUAAAUAAAGUUAUAAGGUGCUUCUUGGGCAUCAACCCAGAGACGGGCACAAAAUCUAAGAGGCAGAGAGGUCACAUGAACCAGCAAGUCUGCACUCUUAUCAGGAAGCUCAUUGACUUCGAAUGGAUGUCAAUCUAAUUGGAUAGAACCCACACUAUGCAGGUGCCAGCUGCGAGGGAAGGAGCGAGAUACCUGCGACCCUCUCUAUUCCCACCUUUUUGUCUUUUCUUACAUCUCUCUCCCUCACUCUCUCUUCUGUCUCCUUCUUUCUCUUUUGACACACAUUCCUGUUACCCAGUGUCAAUCCCUGUUGCCCAGUGUUUUAUUCAUGUAAUUAAAUUGUAUUUUACUUCUAAAAAAUAAAAGUUAUGUCACUGUUUUUA